GACGUAGGGCGCGAGCGUUGUCCGGAUUUAUUGGGCGUAAAGAGCUCGUAGGCGGCUUGUCGCGUCGACUGUGAAAACCCGCGGCUCAACUGCGGGCCUGCAGCCGAUACGGGCAGGCUAGAGUUCGGUAGGGGAGACUGGAAUUCCUGGUGUAGCGGUGAAAUGCGCAGAUAUCAGGAGGAACACCGGUGGCGAAGGCGGGUCUCUGGGCCGAUACUGACGCUGGAGGCGACGGAAAGCUAGGGGAGCAAACGGG
rnacentral:rRNA from 1 species